CCUACGGGAGGCAGCAGUGGGGAAUUUUGGACAAUGGGCGCAAGCCUGAUCCAGCCAUGCCGCGUGAGUGAAGAAGGCCUUCGGGUUGUAAAGCUCUUUCGGCGGGGAAGAAAAGGUUCGUGCUAAUACCACGAACUAAUGACGGUACCCGAAGAAGAAGCACCGGCUAACUACGUGCCAGCAGCCGCGGUAAUACGUAGGGUGCAGGCGUUAAUCGGAAUUACUGGGCGUAAAGCGUGCGCAGGCGGUUUGUUAAGACAGAUGUGAAAUCCCCGGGCUUAACCUGGGAACUGCGUUUGUAACUGGCAAGCUAGAGUGUGGCAGAGGGGGGUGGAAUUCCAAGUGUAGCAGUGAAAUGCGUAGAUAUUUGGAGGAACACCGAUGGCGAAGGCAGCCCCCUGGGCUAACACUGACGCUCAUGCACGAAAGCGUGGGGAGCAAACAGGAUUAGAUACCCUGGUAGUCCACGCCCUAAACUAUGUCAACUGGUUGUCGGGGAAGCAAUUCCUUGGUAACGAAGCUAACGCGUGAAGUUGACCGCCUGGGGAGUACGGCCGCAAGGUUAAAACUUAAAUGAAUUGACGG
rnacentral:rRNA from 1 species